CGUCUGUGAUGAUAUUAUUAAGGCUUGUUUCUCAAAACAUUCGCAGUGGCCGACCAAGAGCUUUCGCCUUCGCCAGGCUUGAGAGCUAAUGCUGUUUUUUUUUCCUUCCUUGGAUGUCUGAGACG
rfam:Medicago truncatula strain A17 chromosome 4, whole genome shotgun sequence.